GACCGCAUGGCCUAUUGGAUAUGGCGUCUGUCUUCGAAUCAGAAGAUUGAGGGUUUGAGUCCCUCUGUGGUCU
rfam:Ciona savignyi cont_20567, whole genome shotgun sequence.